GAUGAACGCUGGCGGCGUGCUUAACACAUGCAAGUCGAACGAAGCACUUUAUUUGAUUUCCUUCGGGACUGAUUAUUUUGUGACUGAGUGGCGGACGGGUGAGUAACGCGUGGGUAACCUGCCUUGUACAGGGGGAUAACAGUUGGAAACGGCUGCUAAUACCGCAUAAGCGCACAGCAUCGCAUGAUGCAGUGUGAAAAACUCCGGUGGUAUAAGAUGGACCCGCGUUGGAUUAGCUAGUUGGUGAGGUAACGGCCCACCAAGGCGACGAUCCAUAGCCGACCUGGGAGGGUGACCGGCCACAUCGGGACUAAGACACGGCCCAAACUCCUACGGGAGGGAGCAGAGGGGAAUAUUGCACAAUGGGCGAAAGCCUGAUGCAGCGACGCCGCGUGAGCGAAGAAGUAUUUCGGUAUGUAAAGCUCUAUCAGCAGGGAAGAUAAUGACGGUACCUGGCUAAGAAGCACCGGCUAAAUACGUG
rnacentral:rRNA from 1 species